GUGCAGUCGGCGUGCUAUACAUGCAAGUCGAGCGAUGAUUAAAGAUAGCUUGCUAUUUUUAUGAAGAGCGGCGAACGGGUGAGUAACGCGUGGGAAAUCUGCCGAGUAGCGGGGGACAACGUUUGGAAACGAACGCUAAUACCGCAUAACAAUGAGAAUCGCAUGAUUCUUAUUUAAAAGAAGCAAUUGCUUCACUACUUGAUGAUCCCGCGUUGUAUUAGCUAGUUGGUAGUGUAAAGGACUACCAAGGCGAUGAUACAUAGCCGACCUGAGAGGGUGAUCGGCCACACUGGGACUGAGACACGGCCCAGACUCCU
rnacentral:rRNA from 1 species